AGAGCGGAUACCGAAAAGCUAAAAGAGUAGGAA
rnacentral:ncRNA from 1 species